rnacentral:rRNA from 1 species
CCGCCCCGCCCGCCGCGCGCGGCGGGCGGGGCGGGGGCACGGGGGGAACGCGAAGAACCUUACCUACUCUUGACAUCCAGAGAACUUAGCAGAGAUGCUUUGGUGCCUUCGGGAACUCUGAGACAGGUGCUGCAUGGCUGUCGUCAGCUCGUGUUGUGAAAUGUUGGGUUAAGUCCCGCAACGAGCGCAACCCUUAUCCUUUGUUGCCAGCGGUUAGGCCGGGAACUCAAAGGAGACUGCCAGUGAUAAACUGGAGGAAGGUGGGGAUGACGUCAAGUCAUCAUGGCCCUUACGAGUAGGGCUACACACGUGCUACAAUGGCGCAUACAAAGAGAAGCGACCUCGCGAGAGCAAGCGGACCUCAUAAAGUGCGUCGUAGUCCGGAUUGGAGUCUGCAACUCGACUCCAUGAAGUCGGAAUCGCUAGUAAUCGUGGAUCAGAAUGCCACGGUGAAUACGUUCCCGGGUCUUGUACACACCG